UGAAAACUUUACUAGAAUGAUGGAUGUUGCAUGAAAUGUUAUUUGUCAUUUCUUAUAGAAAUAAUCACACAACGUCAGCUGUGUGAAUUGUACAGUGAAUGGGCUUUAAGUUGUAAUUGUCCCGGAACACUUCUGUUACAAAUAAUCUGCCCGUUUAGAGGAAAUGAACAGGAAACAAAAACCUCACAAAUGGCAUAAUUUUGGUGUUCAUUACAAGAAGAUGGUCUCCCCCCAAAAUUAUAACUUGCUUGCUGAGCGCCUCCACUGAUUUAAUUCAGUAUUGUCUCACAAUGACUCCCUAGAAAUGUAUAGACUACAUUUCCGAUGAUGCUCAGCUAGUGUUCAACCCCUUUAUACUUUUAAUUCUUCAAUCUCCUUUUGCACGAUGGACAUUCCUUUAUUCAUGGUGAAUGCACUUACAAGCACCAUCAACUUGCUUGGUCUAACACUUUAUCAUUAAACAUUUUGGUUAACAGACAAAAGUACAUUGUAACUUUUCCUUAAUCAUUCAUACUUUGUGAAUGCUACAUUCAAAUAUACAUGUAUAAAAUUAGUUUAAUCAUAAACUAUUGAUUGUUCUAUAUCGGACAUCUCUAUCUUUCUGUUUUGAAUCCCAAAUAUUGACUGGGAGUACUUGUCUACCG